CGUUACAACGGUCCUACGCAUCGGUCAACGUACACGUAGCGGCGUUGUUUGUUUUACUUGAUUUUCUUCAAAUAAUCAUCGAAGAUCAAGCGGGCUUCGCAGACACACACGCAGAUGCAGUUCCGAAGAAAGCAGAUGCGAAGGCUGCAGAUGCAGCACCGGAGGAUCCGGUUCGGGAUAGACAGGGUCGACUUGAAAAACUAAAAAACGGAACAUGGCCGACUCUGAGCUGCGGCAUAUUCAGCACAACGCGACUGGAGAACAGAGCCGGGCCGGAUAAUAGCGACGGGAGGAACCGGAAAGCAUAAACCCGCGCAAAAGUGGAGGCCACUUCAAGCGUUUUCUGCGGCGGUCGCGACCCUUCCGAAAAUUAUCCAGAACGACCACCCCCACGACCAACGACGGCCGCGGCCUUACCACCACCGCGAAGAAAUAACUCGGCGCGAACGGGGAAAAAAAUGUUUUUCGCAACAAUGGGACGCGCAAAAGUAUACUUUCGCGAGAAAACUGUGAAAAUGGGCACCCAAAAUUAGAUUGCUCGUCUCUCUCUCUGUGGAAGGAAGCAAAAGCGUAUCUCUGGGCCAAGGUUUUAUCAGUAAAGUGAGCGUCACCGAUGAUGAAGCGUAACUCAAAAAUCGAAAAAGGAAUAAAUCAACAAAAAUCGAAUCUUCAUCAAAGAUGUUUUGGAAAAUGUCUCAAAACAAGAACAGAAAAAUUCCGUCAGACAUUCACUCAUCCUAAGACAGGAAUUACGUUUUUGAACAGCACAGAACAGAAUAAAAGUUAAUUAUCUGCGCAAAGAUAUGGAAAUAUUGGCUUUAAUGCAGAUGUGAAAAAUUACCUAAAUUGUCUUCAUCGUUCUUUAAAUGAUGAACUGAAGUUUACAAAGUCGCCAGUCAAUCGUAAGAAGAUUUUAAAAAUACAAUUCGCUGCAAAAGGAAGUGAUAUUUUCCUCAUUAAAAAGAAUGUCCAUCAGCGAAAGUUUUGGAAUUUCAUCAAAGAAGAGAAAAUAUUAAUCCCAUCAGCGUUAUCUUUUCUUUUUACGUGUAAUAACUGUAGUAACAUAACAAAAAUACCUUGAGUCUAACGCUUCAACUUUAAUAUUAUUCGAACGUGUUCAGCAAGAGGAAAAAUUUCUGCCGGCGGAGAAACUUUUAACUUAAUUCUCUUACCAGCUUUUAUCUCUCGCGCAGUGGAAAACUUUAAUGAGCGCAACGAGAAUGUGCACUAUAUAUAUAAAAGAAACUUUCAUUAUCUUAAAAUAAUCGCAUAUGUGCAUACUCUGUAAGAAAAAAGAUGAUACGGUUUCCGCUUAUUUUGCAAUUCUCGGUGUUUUUAGUCUCGUUGACACUUGCUUUUACUACCAACGAUCAAUUAAAUAUUCAUAAAUAUUUCUUUUUCUCUGAAACCUUCCGAAAAAAAAAAAAACACAGGAAAAUCAGGCCAAUAUUUUUUAAGAAUACAAUCAAUAACUCUGCAUUCACAUGGUAGCAAUGUCCCACGAUUAUAAUCACGGCCGUCGCGAAACUAAGAAAAAUAUUUGGAAAUUAAUAAGUGGGACGGUCACUUGAAUCCAAUCCAUCACGCGACAUAAUAAUGAUCCGUAGUUGCAUCCCAAAGCAAUAAAAGCAAGUUACAAGUA